AGUCAUUAAAAAUAAUAAGUAACCUAGUAAUGACUCCAUAUCUCAGUGAUGUGAAAGAGGGCCGAGGGUACAGGAAUGAGGCUGCAAACAUUGUGAAUUACUCCAUCUAGCACACAACACGAUCACAGCGUACAACAGCGUUUUGUAUAAAUUCAGCCAAGCUAAUGAAUGGUCACAGGGGAAACCAGAAAGACAGGCUACCAGUUACAUAAACUUGUUCAACUAAAUGUGUCACCUAUAUGGAAGUAACAGGUUAUGACACCAGAUUUGUUUAGAAUUAACAUUCUUACGAUUUCUUCAGUAAGCUUAAAAUGCCACAAAAAUUGUUAAAAGCUGGCUAAAAGGUACUCCAUGUUGCUUUCUUAAACUGGGACCUGCAAUAAUCAGAAACAAGCUUUUCUGCCAAUCUGGCAAAUACUUGAUUGCCUCAGAUUUUUAGUUAAGAGUCUCACAUUAUCUUAAAAAUACUUUCUUACAGGAUAUUCUGGUACUUCACCAGUAGCUUUACAUUUGAUUAACCUAGAUUGAGCACAAUUUUCUUUUUUAUUCUGAGUCUUUAUCUGAUUAGUAAAGAUAGGCUUGCUGCAGAAAAUGGAAAAUAUAAAGAUAUUAAAAUCACCCUUGGUUCAGUCAUCCAGGUAUAACCAUUAUUUACACUUCGGUAUAUUUCCUUUCAAUGCUUAAUGUUACUAGUGUGUUCAAAAACAUGACUUCUAUUGGUGCAGGGUAUUCUCUCAAGCAGUAACACAUCCAUUUUCCCUAUCAUUAGACAUUUAGAUAAUUUAGAAGAACUGUUUUCUACUGAAUGUUUUUAAAGGUGGCUUUUUCCUUUUUUUUUUUUAAGUGAAAGGUUUAUUUAGAGAGAUACACACUCCACAGAGUGGGGUCUGUCUCAGAAGGGAAAACGGCUUAGGAGAUAACACACUCCAUACAC